rnacentral:tRNA from 1 species
GUCCCCAUCGUCUUGUCUGGCCUAGGACUCAAGAUUUUCAUUCUUGCAACAGGGGUUCGAAUCCCCUUGGGGACGCCA